rnacentral:sRNA from 1 species
GCCUUCCCUAUGUUCACCACCAACAAUCGAGUGAAGAGGAGACCUUCCCCCUAUGAGAUGGAGAUUACUGAUGGCACUGACCCUCAGGGAUUCCCUGCACUUCCUCCCAAGUCUUCCUUAGAGUCUGGAGUCUGCUUCCUCCCUGCAAUGGAGUCAUCAAGGGUUUUCUCCAAGGUCCCUACACAGUAGGCUCCCCUUGUCUCCCGUUAACACAUUCUGGGCUUAGACCUGGAGUUCCCUUCCUGACAUCAUGGAUUCUACCUUGCCCCCUGGAUUCCCCGAGAAGGGCCUUGGCACUGCUCCUUUGAGGUCCCCACACCAAAGUUGUGCGGCGUAUCUUCACCAACAGCCGGGAGCGAUGGCGGCAGCAGAAUGUGAACGGGGCCUUUGCCGAGCUCCGCAAGCUGAUCCCCACACAUCCCCCGGACAAGAAGCUCAGCAAGAAUGAGAUCCUCCGCCUGGCCAUGAAGUAUAUCAACUUCUUGGCCAAGCUGCUCAAUGACCAGGAGGAGGAGGGCACCCAGCGGGCCAAGACUGGCAAGGACCCUGUGGUGGGGGCUGGUGGGGGUGGAGGUGGGGGAGGGGGCGGCGCGCCCCCAGAUGACCUCCUGCAAGACGUGCUUUCCCCCAACUCCAGCUGCGGCAGCUCCCUGGAUGGGGCAGCCAGCCCGGACAGCUACACGGAGGAGCCCGCGCCCAAGCACACGGCCCGCAGCCUCCAUCCUGCCAUGCUGCCUGCCGCCGAUGGAGCCGGCCCUCGGUGAUGGGUCUGGGCCACCAGGCUCAGCCAGGAGGGCGUUCUUAGGCUGCUGGGAUGGUGGACUUCAGGGCAGGUGGGGUGAGAAUUGGGCGGCUCUGAAGCAAGGCGGUGGACUUGAACUUUCCUGGAUGUCUGAACUUUGGGAAGCCUUUACUGACCCUGGGGCUGGCUUUUCUGUUUCCUGUACCAGUAGGAGAUCAGAAAAAUGGAGCAAAGUGGUAGGUACUUUUUGUGAAGACGGCACGGUCUUCCCUCUUCCCUCAGUCCCAAAUCCUUCCCAAGUAAGAGGCUGGAGUUGUCACUGCUUUUGGCCUGGAGUUUGGGAUCCCUGUCUUUCCUAAGACCUGGGGUUGUCAGCUCUCAUCUGAGGCAUCCAGCAGUCUCUGCCUUGCCUUUAGCCCCUCCCAAGCUGGCUGGGGUGGCCUGUGUGGCCACUUCUGUCCAUAUUUAUAGGUACCCAAUAGCUGCCCAUUUCGUGAGCCCCAUCUUCACCCAGGCCUAUGUUGAUCCAUCCAGCUUGCCAGAUGCUGCAGAGUCACAAGCCUCGAGGUGCCUUCUUCAGGGCCUGGUUGAAGAAGAUGAUCAGUGGACAGUCUGCUCUAGAUGAGCUGGGCCGGAGGGUCAGGAAACCCAGUCGCCCUUACUUUUUGCCCUGGGGAUCAAAGUUCUGCUUUCUCCCCAAUGAGACUUGCCUUCCUAAGCCUGUGGCUGUGGAGACCGUGUCUGCAGCCCUGAGAAAGCCCUGUCGGGCUUUGUGUGAAGGCAGAGAAAGGGACAAUGAUAGUAGAGUGAUAUGGAGCAAGAGAUAUUUUGGGCAUGUGGGCUUCAACUCCUCGACAUCACUGUUCAUGCUGGCGAGUGAAUGCCAGUGUGCUGAUGGGCGUACGCUGGUGCUGAGUAGAUGUGCAGCCCCAUCUGUGCAUUCUCCUGGAUGCUUAGAGGGAUUUCUUUGCUGUAAGAUGUCUGUUUGCUGAUGGUCUGGUCUAUGUUCCGAAUUGAGCACAAACUCUGUCCUAUGAAUGCUUUGCAUUUGGAA